CUCGGAAUAACCCUAAAAAUGAACCCUAUCUCUAAAUUUCUACUGUUGCUUUGUCAAAAUUUAAGGUUGAGAAUGCAAGACUUGUAGAUAGUGUACCUCAGCUUCAUGGGACAAUGAUUCAACCUAAGAAACAAUUAAAAUAAGAAGAAGAGGUCCCAACGAUGGCUUCGAUCUGAGGAAUAGCGACGUGUAUCGAAGUAGAGGGGAGCACCACCGAAGGAAAGGAAUGCUGCUGUGACAGCACUGAAGUCAAAAGUUGUGUUAGGCUAGUAGUGAAAAGGGGUUUGGUUCAUAUGGGUCAGUGAAGGAAUGGCAUUGAGUAGGGCAGCGGG
rnacentral:misc_RNA from 1 species